AGUGAACGCUGGCGGCAGGCCUAACACAUGCAAGUCGAGCGGAUGAAGUAGCUUGCUACUGAUUCAGCGGCGGACGGGUGAGUAAUGCCUAGGAAUCUGCCUGGUAGUGGGGGGACAACGUUUCGAAAGGAACGCUAAUACCGCAUACGUCCUACGGGAGAAAGUGGGGGACCCUCGGGCCUCACGCUAUCAGAUGAGCCUAGGUCGGAUUAGCUAGUUGGUGGGGGUAAUGGCUCACUAAGGCGACGAUCCGUAACUGGUCUGAGAGGAUGAUCAGUCACACUGGAACUGAGACACGGUCCAGACUCCUACGGGAGGCAGCAGUGGGGAAUAUUGGACAAUGGGCGAAAGCCUGAUCCAGCCAUGCCGCGUGUGUGAAGAAGGUCUUCGGAUUGUAAAGCACUUUAAGUUGGGAGGAAGGGUCGUAACCUAAUACGUUGCGAUUUUGACGUUACCAACAGAAUAAGCACCGGCUAACUUCGUGCCAGCAGCCG
rnacentral:rRNA from 1 species